AUCUAUCGCCUAAUUUGGUAAGGCACCGGCUCUUUUGGGGCCGGAAUCCCGGUUCGAUUCCGGGUAGAU
rnacentral:tRNA from 1 species